GUGGGGAAUAUUGGGCAAUGGGGGAAACCCUGACCCAGCAACGCCGCGUGAAGGAAGAAGGUUUUCGGAUCGUAAACUUCUAUCCUUGGUGAAGAUAAUGACGGUAGCCAAGAAGGAAGCCCCGGCUAACUACGUGCCAGCAGCCGCGGUAAUACGUAGGGGGCAAGCGUUGUCCGGAAUGAUUGGGCGUAAAGGGCGCGUAGGCGGCCUGGUAAGUCUGGAGUGAAAGUCCUGCUUUUAAGGUGGGAAUUGCUUUGGAUACUGUCGGGCUUGAGUGCAGGAGAGGUAAGCGGAAUUCCCGGUGUAGCGGUGAAAUGCGUAGAGAUCGGGAGGAACACCAGUGGCGAAGGCGGCUUCCUGGCACAAUACUGACGCUGAGGCGCGAAAGUGUGGGGAGCAAACAGGAUUAGAUACCCUUGUAGUCC
rnacentral:rRNA from 1 species